rnacentral:rRNA from 1 species
UACGUAGGUGGCAAGCGUUAUCCGGAUUUAUUGGGCGUAAAGGGAACGCAGGCGGUCUUUUAAGUCUGAUGUGAAAGCCUUCGGCUUAACCGGAGUAGUGCAUUGGAAACUGGGAGACUUGAGUGCAGAAGAGGAGAGUGGAAUUCCAUGUGUAGCGGUGAAAUGCGUAGAUAUAUGGAAGAACACCAGUGGCGAAAGCGGCUCUCUGGUCUGUAACUGACGCUGAGGUUCGAAAGCGUGGGUAGCAAACAGG